rnacentral:rRNA from 1 species
UACGGAAGGCAGCGGUGGGGAAUAUUGCACAAUGGGCGCAAGCCUGAUGCAGCCAUGCCGCGUGUAUGAAGAAGGCCUUCGGGUUGUAAAGUACUUUCAGUCGUGAGGAAGGUGUUAAGGUUAAUAACCUUAGCAAUUGACGUUAGCGACAGAAGAAGCACCGGCUAACUCCGUGCCAGCAGCCGCGGUAAUACAGAGGGUGCGAGCGUUAAUCGGAUUUACUGGGCGUAAAGCGUGCGUAGGCGGCUGAUUAAGUCGGAUGUGAAAUCCCCUGAGCUUAACUUAGGAAUUGCAUUCGAUACUGGUCAGCUAGAGUAUGGGGAGAGGAUGGUAGAAUUCCAGGUGUAGCGGUGAAAUGCGUAGAGAUCUGGAGGAAUACCGAUGGGCGAAGGGCAGCCAUCGUGGCCUAAAUCGUGACGCUGAGGUACGAAAGCAUGGGGA